rnacentral:rRNA from 1 species
CCCGAACGCCCCGCCGGCGGAUGCCUCGGCCCGGGCGGCGACGAAGAGCGCGGCGGAGCGCGAGACGCGGUGCGGACCCGCCCGCCCCGAGAAGCACCGACCCUCGAACGCAGCGCGCCCCGGCGCCGCCGCCUCGGCGCCCGCC